rnacentral:rRNA from 1 species
UACGGGGGGAGCAAGCGUUGUUCGGAUUUACUGGCGUAAAGGGCGCGUAGGCGGUCAGCACAAGUCAGUUGUGAAAUCUCCGGGCUUAACUCGGAAAGGUCAACUGAUACUGUGCGACUAGAGUGCAGAAGGGGCAACUGGAAUUCUCGGUGUAGCGGUGAAAUGCGUAGAUAUCGAGAGGAACACCUGCGGCGAAGGCGGGUUGCUGGGCUGACACUGACGCUGAGGCGCGAAGCCAGGGAGCGAACGGGAUUAGAGUACC